rnacentral:miRNA from 1 species
AACCCGAUUGGUACCGGUCUCUAU